rnacentral:rRNA from 1 species
ACGAAGGGAGCUAGCGUUGUUCGGAAUUACUGGGCGUAAAGGGUGCGUAGGCGGUUCGAUAAGUCAGAUGUGAAAGCCCUGGGCUCAACCCGGGAACUGCGUUUGAGACUGUCGAGCUUGAAUUCGGUAGAGGUGAGUGGAAUUCCCAGUGUAGAGGUGAAAUUCGUAGAUAUUGGGAAGAACACCGGUGGCGAAGGCGGCUCACUGGACCGACAUUGACGCUGAGGCACGAAAGCGUGGGGAGCAAACAG